rfam:Candidatus Micrarchaeota archaeon RBG_16_36_9 RBG_16_scaffold_36, whole genome shotgun sequence.
AGGGUCUAAGCAGGAAACCAAUAGGCGGAUAGCUCAGCUUUCGAGAACGAUGAAGGGCGCAGCAAACUGUGAUAAGUCUUGGGUAGGCGUAAGCAGCCUUUGAACCAAGAAUCCCUUAAUGUGAAUUCAUACUAGCUUCGGCUAGUGUUUCGAAAGAAUCGGUAACCCGCUGAAUUGAAGCAUCUUAGUAAGCGGAGGAAGAGAAAACUAUUGUUGAUUCCGCCAGUAACGGCGAGUGAAGACGGAAGAGAGCAAACCGAAUUGCUGCAGAAAUGCAGUUAAGAUGUGGAGCCUGGUACAACUUAACUAGUUGACUCGAAGUCUGCUGGAAAGCAGCCUCAAAGAUGGUGAUAGGCCAGUAGAGGAAGACUGGAAAGUUGAUUCAGGAAUCGAGUACUGUUCCUUGGAUGGGGAGCGGAAAGAUGGCUGGCAUCAAUGGCCAACUCUAAAUAUCUCGAAAGUCUGAUAGUGGAAAAGUAAGGUGACUGAAAGCUGAAAAGUAUUCUUAACCGAAGAUUAAAAGACCUUGAAACCUAUUGGUGAUAGUCAUCCAUGGUCUGAAAGGUUCUUUUGCAAAGGAAAAUUGCGCAAGCAGUGUGUACGAGCAGAAGAUUACAGGAUUAUGGAGUCCGUGUAGAAACCAGAGUAAGUGCUCUAAUUGACCUUAGCGAUAAAAAUAAUAAAAUCUGCCAACAAUAAACACAUAUGAUGACACCGGAAUUAGAAUACGUUGCAGGUUUUAUUAUUGGUGAUGGAAAUCUUUCAGAGAAAUACUUGAUUCGUGCCGUAGAAGAGAAUGAGAUAUUCAUGAAGAAUGUAUUUUUGAAAGUUUUUCACAAAGCUUUCAAUAAGCUACCCAAAAUUUACUUCGAUAGAUUCAAUAACUCUUAUGUAGCUUAUUUGCAUUCUAAAGAAAUAUGGAAUGUAUUUGUAAACGAAUUGAAUAUUCCAAAAGGAAAAAAAUCUAAAAUAGUCAGGAUACCAAUGCAGAUUAUGAAUUCAGAUGUUUUAUCAAAAGCUUCAUUUCUUUCAGCUAUUUUUGAUGCUGAAGGUUCUGUUGUUGAGAUGAAAGAUCCAAUUCAUCAUCCCAAUGGAUAUCCUAGGAUUCAAUUGAAGGUUUAUAAUCACAAAUUGGCAAAAGACAUUUUCGAUUUGUUAGUUCAAUUUGAGUCCGAACCGAAACUUUAUUUAUAUUCUGAUUUUGCCGUGAUACACGUUAACGGCAGGAAGAAUUGCAAGUCAUUUCUUGAGAAAGUUGGAUUUAGACAUCCGCUAAAGAGUGAGAAACUGAACAUUUUUUUGGCUAAAGACACGGGGCAGGGAGUUUGUUUUUGUGGCGAGGAUAAUUUGUUAAUCAAAGCAUCCGGAGCGAAAGCGAUUGCGCGUAACGCAAGUGUGGCGCUAGGUCUGAAAGGGCCUAUAGUCACAAGGACAAGACCCGAAACCGCUUGAUCUAACCCCAAUUAGGAUGAAGCGUAGCGAAAGCUGCGUGGAGGUCUGAACCGAUGUUGGAUUAACCACUCGGAUGAAUUGGGGUUAGGGGUGAAAAGCCAAACGAAGGCGGUAAUAGCUGGUUCCUCUCGAAAUAUGUGACUAGCAUAGCCCCAUUAGAGAUAGUUGACAGGGUAAAGCACUGAUUGGGGGACCAAGGAACGAAAGUUCCAGUUUUCCUGUCAAACUAAUAAUCUGUCAACAUCUUAGAAGAUGGGAGUCAGGGUACCUGGGUAAGCUAGGUAUCCGCAAAGGGAACAACCUAGCCUGAGGUUAAGGUCCCUAAUCUUAACUAAUUCACAAAGCUUGUACGAGUCCUAAAACAGGAGGGGCGUAGGCUCAGAAGUUGCCAUCGCAUAAUCAACGUGUAACAACGGACCUCUCGAGGACUUGUGCGGUGAAAAUGGACUGGAGUAAGUUAAGAACCGAUACCUCAGAUUAUGAAAAUAAUAUGGUAGGGAGGCGUUCUGUUUGGGUAGAAGCACCUUCGCAAGGAGGUGUCGACCAUACAGGAAUGAAAAUCCUGCUGGUAGUAGCAUCAAAGAAAGGUUAGAAACCUUUCCGCCUUAAGGACAAGGAUUUCACGACAACGUUUCUCGGUCGUGAGUUAGUCAAACCUAACCGUACUCUUAACUGCUGUAUGGGAAGGUAAAUCUGUUAAUAUCCAGAUACCAUAGACAUACGUGUGGCGACACAAGUCUGAUUGCAAACACUUUAGAGAUAUGGCUACGUAAGUUAAGCAGCUAAAACUGAGGAGUUCCAUCAUGGAGAGAAUCAGUUGAAUCUGUGAAUAGCUCUGCUGUAUAGUGGAGUUAGUCAAAUUCCUAGAGUCCUUGAAAAUGCAAUUGGAAAGGAUUGUUUAUGUCUGUACUGAGAACCAAUACUGGUAUCCUUGCUGAAAAGGCAAUGGCGUGUCGGAUAAUACCAACUUAGGGAAAUCGGCAAACUAGACCCGUACCUUUGGUAUAAGGGUUGCCUAUGCAGAAGUGCAUAGGUCGCAGUAACAAGGAAGAGGCGACUGUUUAACAAAAACAUAGGUGACUGCUAAAGAGAAAUCUUUUGUAUAGUCACUGAGGCCUGCCCAGUGCGAGUGUGUGAAAGUCGGUUCCAACCGACCCAAGCCCUCGUUAACGGCGGCGGUAACUCUGACCGUUAGCAUUAAAGGCGGUCGUUAAAUCUGACCAUAUGCUGGAACCCCUGAAAGUUUCAAGUCCUUAGAAAGGAAAAAUCUUGAAAAAUAAAUGUAGGGUAAUCAGCAGGAAACUACUUCGAUUAAUACGAGGUGAUUCAAUGAAAAAGACUCUGAGUAAGAAGUCUUAUUUAGUUGGAGUAACAGAUUCGGAAGGUUGUUUCAGUAUAUCUACAAAAAAACAAAAUGACACAAAAUUUGGUUGGGUUUUAGAUCCACUAUUUCAAGUUACACAACAUUCAACUAAUAGAAUAAUAUUAGAAAUGUUUGAAAGUGAACUUAGAUGUGGUAGAAUAAUAGAAAAACCAGGUCAAGAAGAUAUAUUGGUUUAUAUUGUAGACAAUAGGAGACAACUGAAAGAAAAAGUAAUUCCAUUCUUUGAAGAAAAUAAACUUAUUGCAAAGCAAAAAGAUUUUGAAAUAUUCAAGGAAGUUGUAGAAGCAUUAGAGAGAAAGGAACACCAAGACAAAGAGAAAUUCAAGAAACUUGUGGAGAAAGUUUUUAAAAUGAACCUUAACGGAAAGCAAAGACACUAUGAACUUUCUGAAAUUUUAAGACAAAUAAAUGAAGUAGGAUCCUCAGAGACCAUACGUCAGACACCUUAAACGGUGAAGAUAUGGUCCGACUCUUACAGUAAUGUAAGUAAAGUUGCUUAAGGUAGCGUAGUCCCUUGUCGAUUAAUUGUCGACCCGCAUGAAUGGCUUAACGACUUCGUCGCUGUCCUAAAUUGGAGUCCGGCGAACCUGCUAUUGUGGUGAAAAGGCCACAGACCCUCAGGGGGAAGAGAAGACCCCGUGGAGCUCUGCGGUAGCCUGUCGUUGUUAUAAUAUUGUGUUUGCAUAGCGUAGGCAGUAGCUGUCAAGUUACUGACUUUGGUCAGUAAAUAGGCGUCAAUGUAACACUGCCCUUUUACAAUCUUAUGACUAACCUCGACUCGGGGGACACCGAUUGGUGGACCGCUCGGCUGGGGCGGUACGUUCUUGACAGGAGAUCAAGAGCGCCCAAAGCGAUCCUCAUUCCCGUCAGAAAUGGGAAGUAGAGUGCAAGCGCAAAAGGAUCGUUUAUUGGAUUCAACAUGGUAAUGAAUCCAGUUGUGAAAGCAUGGGCUAGCGAUACGCCGAGCGUUAUUGAUGAAUGUCGGUGACUUCAGAAAAGCUACCCCGGGGAUAUGGUAGCGCAGAGUUUUGGUCUUCUAAGAAAAUUUAUAUUACCUGAUUAAGGAAUUGUAUAUUCGUAAGAAUAGAAAAUUCCUAUAUUAUUUUACUCUUAGAAGAUUCACUAGACUAAUAAGAGAAGUGUAGUUAUUCUAGUACUUUGCGCUGCCACCUCAAAACAGAGUCGUGGCGGGCGAGAGCUCCUAUCGACCCCGCGUGUUGCUACCUCGCUGUCGGCUUCCCCUCUCCUGGCCGUGCAGUAGCGGCCAAGGGUACAGGUGUUCACUGGUUAAAAGGGGACAUUAGCUGGGUUCAGUACGUCGUGAUCUAACGCGGGUCUCAAAACAAGUUUGAAUAGAUGAAGAAAGGUCGAUUAAACGAAGAACAAAUGACUUUAUCGAAGUCACCUCUGAUAUUCAAAAGUUCUUCUCCUAGAAGCAUGAUUAGCUUUAGCUUUAGCUAGCGAUGAGAUCAUGUUACCGUAUUACCAUAAAAUGUUUGGUGAUGAAUGAACCGUCCCAAUGCGAUUAAUUCGCGAAUGGAGUAGCUAAUGAACCAAACUAGUUUCAAAUCCUACGUUAGACGACAAAGACAGUACGGUUUAUAUCUACUGAGGGUGUAGUUACCUGACCUGAAGGAUGGGUGAGUACGAAAUGUGUCUACAUAAAUUUUGUAGAUGCACGUAAAAGGAACGCUCAUUCGUGACCUCUGGUUCACCAGUUAUCAUUUGGUAAUGCUGGGCAGCCACGUCAUAGCACUUAACAUCUGAAAGCAUCUAAGAUGGAAAUUGCCGGGAAAAAUAGGUAAUUGGCGCGGAUAGACGAUCCGCUUAAUGGGAGUGGAGUGUACGCACAAAGCUUCGGCGAUGUGUUCAGCUCGCACUUCCCAAUGCCUUUAGCUUAGGCCCC